AUGACGAGAGCAAACAAACACGGUGAUGGACUGCCCAACAGCUUUGAGAGCUUUCUGUACACAAGAUACCUUCUCAGAUCAUUCACCAUAUCAAGUACAUCUUCCCAUUUCGCAGAAGCAUUAGCUUUCGCAUAUCUAGCUGGCACAGGCCGCAUCCAAGAAGUUGAUUUCUCGACUUCAAAUGAAACUGAUGAUUCAGAUAAGAAUCUGAGGCAAGACAAUAUCACUUGCUGA